CAACAAUGUCUAGAGUAGUGUUAGGUAAUACGAUAACAAUAAUUGAGGUACUAUAAGUUAAUACAAUAAUGUCUAGAGUACUGUUAGGUAAUACGAUAACAACAAUUAACGUACUACAAGGUAAUACAACAAUGUCUAGAGUAUUGUUAGGUAAUACGAUAAGAACAAUUAAUGUACUACAAGGUAAUACAACAAUGUCUAGAGUACUGUUAGGUAAUACGAUAACAACAAUUAACGUACUACAAGGUAAUACAACAAUGUCUAGAGUACUGUUAGGUAAUGGGAUAAGAACAAUUAACGUACUACAAGGUAUUACAACAAUGUCUAGAGUAUUGUUAUGUAAUACGAUAAGAACAAUUAACGUACUACAAGUUAAUACAAUAAUGUCUAGAGUACUGUUAGGUAAUACGAUAAGAACAAUUAACGUACUACAAUGUAAUACAAUAAUGUCUAGAGUAUUGUUAGGUAAUACGAUAACAACAAUUAACGUACUACAAGGUAAUACAAUAAUGUCUAGAGUAUUGUUAGGUAAUACGAUAACAACAAUUAACGUACUACAAGGUAAUACAACAAUGUCUAGAGUAUUGUUAGGUAAUACGAUAACAACAAUUAACGUACUACAAGGUUAUACAAUAAUGUCUAGAGUAUUGUUAGGUAAUACGAUAACAACAAUUAACGUACUACAAGGUAAUACAACAAUGUCUAGAGUAUUGUUAGGUAAUACGAUAACAACAAUUAAUGUACUAUAAGUUAAUACGAUAACAACAAUUAACGUACUACAAGUUAAUACAAUAAUGUCUAGAGUAUUGUUAGGUAAUACGAUAACAACAAUUAAUGUACUACAAGGUAAUACAACAAUGUCUAGAGUAUUGUUAGGUAAUGCGAUAAUGUCUAGAGUAUUAGAUAAUACAGUUAAGAAGGCCCAGUACUCAGUAGAACGUUAAGUAUAACC